rnacentral:lncRNA from 1 species
AGGCAACCUCCUCAACAGGCCAUGGCAACAAGGCCACUUCACCAUCCCUGCAGUGAUUCCUCAGUAAUUCACCACCAGAAGCACCAUCACCUUCCUUCUGUGUCCCUCCACAAAGCCAGUUGGGACUUCUAGAUAUUUUUGAAGGCAUAUUGAACUAGAUGGUGUUCUAGGGUACUAAUUUCAAGCUGUUGUUCUCCUAACCAUGCCACCAUAGCAGCAAUUUUAUUCUGAUGCAUAGAUUUGUAUAGAGAGGGUAAGAAAUUAUUCCAUGAAGUGAUCCCUUCUCAGAAUUUUAAAUAAGAAAUGGAAAAACUUUCUGUACUCUCAGAGUUUUCAUAAUUUCCCCUGGGGUAGGAGGGCAGGUGCAGAAGGGAACGGAACAAAGAUAAAGAAACAGCCACGUGGACGUGUGGUGGAAGAUCGUUUGAAGGAGGAGAAGAGCAAGUCAAAGGCCCUGAGGCAAGAGCACACUGGGCAUGUUCAAGGGGAUUCUGGGAGUUGGAAGAGGCCAACUUUUCCUACCUGCAGUUUGAAGAUUAAGGACUUAGAGAUUUGUUGAGAGGCUGCUUCCGAGAGGUUACUGAUACACUGAGGACAGGAACUACUGACUACUCUGAAUGAGGGAAAAACAUCCAGUUUGGGGUGAUCCUGUUUUGCAAUGGCAGCUGUCAGCCAUAACAUGGUGGGAAAUAACGGUAAAUAAACCUCCUGUGAUUGGCAAGAAUAUAAAAAAA